UACAGAGGGGGCAAGCGUUGUUCGGAAUUACUGGGCGUAAAGGGCGCGUAGGUGGCCUUCUAAGUUGAACGUGAAAUCCCUGGGCUCAACCCAGGAACUGCGUCCAAGACUGGGAGGCUUGAAUCCGGGAGAGGUGAGUGGAACUGCGAGUGUAGAGGUGAAAUUCGUAGAUAUUCGCAAGAACACCAGUGGCGAAGGCGGCUCACUGGCCCGGUACUGACGCUGAGGUGCGAAAGCGUGGGGAGCAAACGGG
rnacentral:rRNA from 1 species